AUCCACCCUUACUAGCAUCUGCGAGACUGCGACUGUCCCGCGAUCUAGAGAGAGAUUUGUGUUGGAAAGAGAGAGAGCAAUGGCUGCCUUCAUCAAGCUGGAUGAUUCUCCUAUGUUUCAUAAGCAGAUAUGUUCCCUUGAACGAACCACGGAGCAGCUCAACGACCGCUGUCAAAGACUAUACAAAGGGUGUCAAAUGUUUAUGGAAACUAUUGGAGAAGCAUGUAAUGGUGACACUUCCUUUGCAGAAACUUUAGAAGCAUUUGGUGGUGGUGAAGACGAUCCCAUAAGCGUAUCCAUAGGAGGUCCAGUCAUAUCAAAGUUCAUGACUGCAUUUCGUGAGCUUGCUACUUAUAAAGAGCUUCUUCGUUCCCAAGUAGAGCAUGUGCUGAUUGAUCGUUUGAUGCACUUUUUGUCAGUUGAUCUGCAAUAUGCAAAGGAUUCCCGUCAUCGAUUUGACAAAGCUAUGUAUGCUUAUGACCAGGCACGUGAAAAGUUUGCUUCUUUAAAGAAGAGUGCACGGGAUGACAUUGUUGCUGAACUAGAAGAGGAUCUUCACAACUCCAAGUCAGCAUUUGAGAGAAGCCGAUUCAAUCUAGUAAAUGCCCUCAUGAAUAUUGAAGCAAAAAAGAAGUAUGAGUUCUUGGAAUCUUUUGGUGCAAUUAUGGAUGCUCAUCUGAGAUAUUUUAAGUUGGGAUACGACUUAUUGAGCCAAUUGGAGCCUUUCAUUCACCAGGUAUUAACUUACGCACAACAAUCUAAAGAACUUGCCAAUACUGAACAAGACAAACUUGCAAAGAGAAUUCAGGAGUUCAGGACACAAGCAGAGCUGGACCUUUUACGAGCUACCAGUAAUGUGGGAGCCUCAACAAGUACUGCUGCUAUUAAUGGUGUCGGUAUGAUUUCUUACAAGAACAUAGAAGCAAUUAUGCAAUCCACUGCAAAAGGGGAGGUCCAAACAAUCAAGCAAGGAUAUCUCUUAAAACGAUCCUCAAGUUUGAGGGCAGAUUGGAAGAGGCGAUUCUUUGUUCUUGACAGUCAUGGGUCCUUAUAUUAUCACAGAUAUAAGGGCAUCAAACCUUCGGGAUCUCAGUCAUUUCAAUCAACUAGUUCAGUAGAACAUAAUAGUCGUGUAUUUGGUAGAUUCCGAGCAAGGCAUCAUAGGGCGUCAUCAAUUGGAGAGGAAAAGUUUGCUUGUCGUACUGUUGAUCUUCGUACUUCAACAAUAAAGAUUGAUGCUGAGGAUACAGAUCUGCGGCUUUGCUUCCGAAUAAUUUCCCCUGCAAAAUCUUACACAUUGCAGGCCGAAAACGAAGCAGAUAGGAUGGACUGGAUUAACAAAAUCACUGGAGUUAUUGCAUCCCUUCUGAACUAUCACCUGCAGCAGCUAGAUCCUGGAAAAAAGGAUACGAAGAAUGACUUUGUCUGGGGUGUUCCUUGUGAUGUUCGACCACUUGAUAAUUGUGAAAGUUCACUGGAUCACGUGAAAGUCAAUCGAGCAGAUUGUGUUUCUAGGAUUCUCAGAGAAAUUCCUGGGAAUGAUAUUUGUGCAGAAUGCAGUGCUCCUGAACCUGAUUGGGCAUCUCUAAAUCUUGGGAUUUUGAUGUGCAUUGAGUGCUCUGGUGUUCACCGGAAUCUUGGUGUUCACAUUUCAAAGGUAAGAUCUAUAACACUGGAUGUCAAGGUCUGGGAACGUACAAUCUUGGAUUUAUUUCGCACCCUAGGUAAUGCAUAUUGUAACUCUGUGUGGGAGGAGUUACUUCUACCUCAGAAUGAUGGAAUAAGGAGUCCAAGUGUUUUUUUAUCAGUUACAAAACCAUGCCCUGAAGAUGUCAUUCAACAAAAGGAGAAAUACAUUCAAGCAAAGUAUGUCGAGAAACUGCUAGUCAAUAAGAAAGCAACUGCAUCUGGCAUUAUUUCUCACACCACCAGCAUCUGGGAAGCAGUUAAGGCCAAUAAUUUGCGGGAAGUAUAUCGCCUAAUUGUUACUUCAGAUAUGGCCAUUGUCAAUUCCAUUUACGAUGAAGUAAUUGGUGUCAAUUUAUACCAUCAUGUUAAUGAUCAAGACUUGCAAGUACCUUAUCGUGCUGUGGAAAAGAAACAAUACAGUCCAGCGGCCUGUCAGAAAAUCCAGGAUUCUAGUGCGCCAGAAAAUUGUCUUCAAGGUUGUUCAUUAUUGCAUCUGGCUUGUCACUCUGACAAUUCGGUGAUGCUCGAGCUAUUACUACAAUUUGGUGCAGAUAUAAACAGGUGUGACUUCCAUGGAAGGACUCCUCUGCACCAUUGCAUCUCCAAAGGGAACAACCAAUUGGCAAAAUUUCUACUCAGAAGAGGUGCAUGCUCAUCAAUUAAAGAUGGUGGCGGCCUAGAUGCACUGGAAAGGGCUAUGGAGAUGGGAGCAAUAACGGACGAAGAGCUUUUUGUCUUGCUUACUAAGUGCGAGUAAAAUUGCAGUUUCUGCCUAAAUAGAAAUAUUUUUUCACAAAAAAAGAAAAAGAAAAAAGCUAUUAUUUGAAGGGGAACAUAGUGAGGCGGUUGGAUACUUUGUGCACUUACUUGGGUGGGUUGGUAAAUCCGAAUCUAAUUUGUCCAUCUCGAUUCAUUGUGGAGUAGCAACCUGUAACCACUGUAUGGUGAUAGCUGAAAUGAGAAAUAUUUUGCUUCAACCCUUGCUCAAAUUAAUGCUAUCAGUUCGGUUGCAGCUGCUCAUGCUUCACCAGGGCAUUGGACAUUGAAUAAGAUUGCAUCAAAAGGCAUAUCUCUCUACAAGAUAGAAAGAGCUGUAAACUUUUGAACUAGCUAUUUGGAGACCCUUGUAAUCUUUGUUUUUAAUGUCUACUUAUCAAAUUUAUAUAUAAAUUAAUAUAUAUAUAUAUAUAUAUAUAUAUAUAUAUAUAUAUAUAUAUUUCAUGUCUAAACCUGGAAAUUGAAAUCAUUCAAGGAUGGAGGAGUUGAGAACUAUCAAUCAUAAUAUAUACUGUAUGGAAUCUUGUUAAUUAUAAAGUAUCCUACGUUUCGUUAUUUCACUUUAGUGGAGGAUGUGUAAACCCGAUAUGAUUUCGCCUUUUUGUUCUU